AGCAUCGGGCGCUGUCGAAUGUUUGCGGCCGGCACAUUUGAAUUCGUUCGCGACGCGUUGUCGAGUGCGCCGGCGCGUCAGCGCCUUCCCACAGAGUGAAGAAAAAUCGGAGACUAAUACGUAAAACUGAGUGGCAUGCGUUAUUGACCGCUGAUGGGAUUAAGAAUAUGUUGCGUGUACGUCGGUGUUUGCGGCAGAAGUGUGAUCUGUGACUUCAUCUUAUUCGGCUUUAACGCUUCAGUGAUAUAUAGUUGAAAGAUUUAUCGGAAGUUUUACGUAGUUUACUAAUUUCCUAGUUCAUUUUCUAAUCUGCGUUCGUCAAACGUGGAGUGAUAAUUAUUAGGGAAGCGAACAAUUUCCUUUUUCCAAUUUUACAUUAUUCCAAUAUUUCAAUUAGAAGCAUGUUCAGUUUCGGGCAUUACAACGAGAAAUUGACUGAAAAAAGAGAAAGUAUGUUCCAUCAGAGAUAGUACACUGUAUCUAAAACGCGUUUGGCUAGACAUUAAGAAACCGAGCUCAACAAUUGACUGAUGCCACCGGAGAGGAAAUAGGGUGAUGGAGCUCUGCACGUACAAAGAAAAUACGGUAUUCUCAAUAUUUUCUACCGGUUAUUUGCAUUUAAAAUAAUACAUCGAAGAGUUAUUGUGCUGUAGUCUGUGUAGAUAAUCAAAUUACACCAGUGUUGGGGCAGAAUAUAUUGUAAAGUGGUGUUCCAGUCCUUUUUUACAUAAUUCGUCGCUGCUGCUGAAUUCGGGGCCAAAAAUUCGUCACGGCUAUCCGUUACCGAACUGCGUGGGAUUCUGAGCUCUGCCGAGGCGGGGGAGAUUUUUUGUGUCCCUAUUUUAUUGCUUUGGCUAUCGGUGCCGAGGAAGUGGGCUAGAGGAUACCGUAUAAUUACGUUCCGGUUGUUGACUCCCAGUGUUCCGUAACAUUAGAAACUUAAAAGUGAUGCCGUGUUUACUCGUGGAUGUAUAAUUUUUAUUACUCCCAUUAAACAACGCUCGCCGUAAAAAGGACAGUUUCCGAGCGUCCAUCGGCACUUUUUGUGCGUGUGUAUGUUCCCACAGUCCGCGUAGGCGGUGCGUCGUACACUUUACCUGCGUACGUGUGUGAGUGCAUACUGGAUUACUGAAAUCAACACUACGUGCUGUGGCAGUUUCAUAGCGAAACUGUGAGCAGAACACACAAAAGGAUGCAGACGAAGAACGUGAACCUGAGCCAGGACCAGCUGAACAACUCAGUGCUGGAGAAGAAUGCCCAGCUGAUACAACAGCAGCAGCAGCCGCUGUCACCGGCCAGCCCAGG